rnacentral:rRNA from 1 species
AACGUAGGACGCGAACGUUAUCCGGAAUUACUGGGCGUAAAGGGCGCGCAGGCGGUUGGGUAAGAGAGGCAUGAAAGCUUCAGGCUAAACCUGGAGAGGCUGUCUGAGACUGCCCGACUGGAGUGCGAUAGAGGGAUGUGGAAUUCCGCGUGUAGUGGUGAAAUGCGUAGAGAUGCGGAGGAACACCAGUGGCGAAGGCGGCAUCCUGGAUCGUAACUGACGCUGAGGCGCGAAAGCAUGGGUAGCGAAC